CCUCCUCUUCAAACCAUGGCAACAGCUUAGCCCAGCCGGAGAAAGAAACAAGUAAACAAUUCACCGCUGUCCCUGCGUCAUCUUCCCUUCUGAGAGGACAGACACAGAACCUGAGUGGCCUCCGUAAACACCCAGCUGCGUUGGAGCUGAAAACGCCACUGCACUCUGUGUCUCUGCAACCCAAUUCAUCAGAAAGUAUAUCUUUGAUCACAGUUAUGAAGACUCUUAGCUAUCACCCUCAGUACCUUUAGCAGUGUUGCUAUUAGAGGUCAUGAACUUGCUCUUGUAUGUCUGUAGGAGAAUCCACUGAUCUACUGGUGAUAACUGCUAAGCUGAUAGGGGCUUGAGAGUUGCACCACUCAGACUUUGACUGCAGGGAGGAAUGACAGACACCACUCUGAGUGAGGACUGGAGCUACUACCUGAUCUUUACAACAUGACUCUCCUGCAACUGUCUAGAAAGUAUUCAAAGUACAAUGUGUGUCUGUGACUGAAUGACACGUUCAUGGCCGAGCUCAUUGCUUUGUGUGAAGCAGGUGGUUAGGGGAGAGGUGGAGGCAGGACGGCCUGUUUGAACCUGGGUUCCUUUGAUUAGGCCGAGGUAGGUAGAUCAAGCCUUCUUAUCACCUGCAGCCUCUAAUGACCCUGCCCUGUUUGCAGGUGAGAGACGCUGUGAUAAGGAGCAGGCUGCCCAGGGCUAACAGCACAAGCUCAUCUCCUCUCCUCUGCUCUGUGGAUUGAGAUACUGCUGGUGGUUUUGUGGACUCCCUGCUCUGAGAGUAAAUGUGUAAUCUCAGGAGUGUUUAAAAAGACAUGGUGGGCGCUCACCUGAAAUAGGGAGGAGGAGAUGGAGGAGCAGGCAGACAUUUUGGGGGAGGGGUCGUUGUGGAGUGAGGGAAGAGAGUGAGACGUGAGGGGAGAGAAAAUGAAGGUGUGUGUGAUCUCCUGCUGAAGAAAUGACUGCAUGCUGCUGCCUGUAGGUGUAUCUGCUGCCUGUAGGUGUAUCUGCUGCCUGUAGGUGUAACUGCUGCCUGUAGGUGUAACUGCUGCCUGUAGGUGUAUCUGCUGCCUGUAGGUGUAACUGCUGCCUGUAGGUGUAUCUGCUGCCUGUAGGUGUAACUGCUGCCUGUAGGUGUAACUGCUGCCUGUAGGUGUAUCUGCUGCCUGUAGGUGUAACUGCUGCCUGUAGGUGUAUCUGCUGCCUGUAGGUGUAACUGCUGCCUGUAGGUGUAUCUGCUGCCUGUAGGUGUAUCUGCUGCCUGUAAGUGUAACUGCUGCCUGUAGGUGUAACUGCUGCCUGUAUGUGUAACUGCUGCCUGUAUGUGUAACUGCUGCCUGUAGGUGUAUCUGCUGCCUGUAGGUGUAUCUGCUGCCUGUAGGUGUAUCUGCUGCCUGUAGGUGUAUCUGCUGCCUGUAGGUGUAACUGCUGCCUGUAGGUGUAACUGCUGCCUGUAUGUGUAACUGCUGCCUGUAGGUGUAUCUGCUGCCUGUAGGUGUAUCUGCUGCCUGUAGGUGUAUCUGCUGCCUGUAGGUGUAACUGCUGCCUGUAGGUGUAACUGCUGCCUGUAUGUGUAACUGCUG